rnacentral:rRNA from 1 species
CGCGGGAUUGCGGGGUGCAGCAGGCGCGAAACCUUUACACUGCACGAAAGUGUGAUAAGGGGACUCUAAGUGCUUAUGCUUUGCAUAGGCUUUUGCCAAAAGUAAAAACUUUGGCGAAUAAGUGGUGGGUAAGACGGGUGCCAGCCGCCGCGGUAACACCUGCGCCACGAGUGGGAACCACAAUUAUUGGGCCUAAAGCGUCCGUAGCCGACUUAGGAAAUCUUCUGUGAAAUUGUUCUGCUUAACAGAACAACGUGCAGAAGACACUGCUAGGAUUGGAACUGGGAGGGGUCAGAAGUAUUUCAUGGGGAGCGGUAAAAUGCUAUAAUCCUUGAAAGACUACCUGUGGCGAAAGCGUCUGACUAGCACAGAUUCGACGGUGAGGGACGAAAGCCAGGGGAGCAAUCCGGAUUAGAUACCCGAGUAGUCCUGGCCAUAAACGCUGCGAGCUAGGUGUUGCACAUUCUUCGUGGAUGUGCAGUGUCGUAGUGAAGACGUUAAGCUCGCCGCCUGGGAAGUAUAGUCGCAAGACCGAAACUUAAAGGAAUUGGCGGGGGAGCUCUACAAGGGGUGCGGCGUGCGGUUUAAUCUAAUUCAACGCAGAGAACCUCACCAGAAGCGACGGCAGAAUGAAAGUCAGUCUAAAGGGCUUACUUGACAAGCCGAGAGGUAGCGCAUGGCCGCCGUCAGCUCAUGCCGUAAGGUGUCCUGUUAAGUCAGGCAACGAGCGAGACCUGUGCCUACAAUUGCUAGCAACUAGUUUUAGGAUUGAGCACAUUGUAGGAACUGCCUUCGAAAGAAGGAGGAAGGUGCAGGCUACGGUAGGUCUGUAUGCUCCGAAUCUUCUGGGCUACACGCGCGCAACAAUGGUAAGGACAAUGGGAUGCAACUCCGAAAGGAGAAGCUAAUCCUCCAAACCUUAUCUUAGUUCAGAUUGAGGCUUGCAACUCAGCCUCAUGACGCUGGAAUCCCUAGUAAUCAGACGUUAGCAUCGUCCGGUGAAUAUGUCCCUGCUCCUUGCACGAAUUCGCCGAAUCACUAGU